rnacentral:lncRNA from 1 species
UAGUCUUAAGAGACCCAAGCUCGAUCAAGACAACGACAACUUAUCUUCUCGUGGUGAUGAUCCCAUGCAGGUUGACCAAAGUACUGACAUGGUGGUGGUGUCCCAAGAUACUGUUGCCGGAACCUCAAAUGUGCCUCCUCCUCCUGAUCAGCUUCCGGAAGUAAUGAACGAUAUGAGAUUAAGAGAGGACGAGCCUCAUGCCAACCGCGGCGAGGAGGACAAAGUUGGUUGCUUUUGUUAUAUCUGGAUUCUCCAUCAUUUAAAUCAUCAUCUUCCUCACAUCUCCAUUGGCAUUGAGAAACGGAGAGAGUUCUAUAGAUUAUGGGUAAUAAGGACAGUAAUAAAUUAACAUGAAAAUCAGGGAAGGAAGGAAAGAGAGAGUAGUCAAAGGAAUGGUCAAAUGAUCCUAAACCCGCAAAUUCCGCGUGCCUAGAUGCAAUCAUUCUAUAUAUCCAUCCGUAGAUAAUUUAGCAAGUUAGGGGUAUUUUGGGAAACAAAAGUGGUCGAAAUGAGGAGGAUUAAUCCUAACCCGUCGGAUGAGCUGCGACGAUGAAUCAACGGUGAUGAGUCAAUGUUUGACCAAAAGAAAGAGAGAGAGAGAGAACGAGGUAGGCAUGAUUGGCGAGAGAGAGAGAGAAGCAAAGAUUCCACCUGGUUUGCGUCGUGAAGAGAGAGAGAGAGAGAGGUUCCGAUUAGAAGAAUCGCUGUGUUCUGCUCGUCACGGACAGAUGCGAAUUUGAAUAUCCGAAUCUGUUAAUUCGUUCUCUGUUUCUCUCUCCACAUGAAGCUGUGGUGAGGAUUUUAGGGUUUGGAGUUGGUAUCUAUUGGUGGCGAAGAUGAACGUGAUGCGUCGUCUGAAGAGCAUUGCUUCGGGUCGGACCUCUAUUUCUUCGGAUCCUGUAAGUAAUGCAUUUUCUCUUCAAUUUAUCUUCCAAAAUGCUUAUCACAAGAUUGAUUUCUGUAGAAGUAGUGCAUCCAUUGAUUGUUGUGGAUGAUAUCUUUGAUUUCGAUGUUGACCUGACCUGGCCUCUCGCUCUUUCUCAGGGUGUGGACUCUAGUCUUAAGAGACCCAAGCUCGAUCAAGACAACGACAACUUAUCUUCUCGUGGUGAUGAUCCCAUGCAGGUUGACCAAAGUACUGACAUGGUGGUGGUGUCCCAAGAUACUGUUGCCGGAACCUCAAAUGUGCCUCCUCCUCCUGAUCAGCUUCCGGAAGUAAUGAACGAUAUGAGAUUAAGAGAGGACGAGCCUCAUGCCAACCGCGGC